AUGCAAGUCGUAGCGGUAACAGAGAGAAGCUUGCUUCUCUGCUGACGAGCGGCGGACGGGUGAGUAAUGCCUAGGAAUCUGCCUAGUAGUGGGGGAUAACUUGCCGAAAGGUAAGCUAAUACCGCAUACGUCCUACGGGAGAAAGGAGGGGACCUUCGGGCCUUUCGCUAUUAGAUGAGCCUAGGUCGGAUUAGUUAGUUGGUGAGGUAAUGGCUCACCAAGACCGCGAUCCGUAACUGGUCUGAGAGGAUGAUCAGUCACACUGGAACUGAGACACGGUCCAGACUCCUACGGGAGGCAGCAGUGGGGAAUAUUGGACAAUGGGGGGAACCCUGAUCCAGCCAUGCCGCGUGUGUGAAGAAGGUCUUAGGAUUGUAAAGCACUUUAAGUUGGGAGGAAGAGCAGUUAACUAAUAUUUGACUGUUUUGACGUUACCGACAGAAUAAGCACCGGCUAACUUCGUGCCAGCAGCCGCGGUAAUACGAAGGGUGCAAGCGUUAAUCGGAAUUACUGGGCGUAAAGCGCGCGUA
rnacentral:rRNA from 1 species